rnacentral:rRNA from 1 species
UAAGCGGAGGAAAAGAAACUAACAAGGAUUCCCCUAGUAACUGCGAGUGAAGCGGGAAAAGCUCAAAUUUAAAAUCUGGCGGUCUUUGGCCGUCCGAGUUGUAAUUUAGAGAAGCGUCUUNCGCGCUGGGCCGUGCACAAGUCUCCUGGAAUGGAGCGUCAUAGAGGGUGAGAAUCCCGUCUUUGGCACGGAUGCCUGGUGCUUCUGUGAUGCGCUCUCGAAGAGUCGAGUUGUUUGGGAAUGCAGCUCAAAAUGGGUGGUGAACUCCAUCUAAAGCUAAAUAUUGGCGAGAGACCGAUAGCGAACAAGUACCGUGAGGGAAAGAUGAAAAGCACUUUGGAAAGAGAGUGAAACAGUACGUGAAAUUGUUGAAAGGGAAACGCUUGAAGUCAGUCGCGUCGACCGAGACUCAGCCUUGCCUUGGCUUGGUGUACUUCUCGGCCCGACGGGUCAGCAUCAAUUUUGCCCCUCGGAUAAUGGCAAGGGAAAGGUGGCACCUUUACGGGUGUGUUAUAGUCUCCUGUCGAGUGCGAGGGGUGGGAUUGAGGAACUCAGCGCGCACCUCAGUGUCGGGGCUUCGGCCCACGUCACGCGCUUAGGAUGCUGGCGUAAUGGCUUUAAACGACC